UCGGUCUUCCUUCUCCAUCUAUCAAUGGUUGUUUAGGUGUGAAAUUAAUCCUAUUAACCUUGAUUAGACCAUUGUACUGAAUAUGCGAAGAAUCUAAACUAGCCAGUGACUACCAUGAUAAAAGUUGUACUGGAUAAGUUAGUUUUGCUGAGAACUGAACAUGGGUCAAAUUAGUAUUAGGUUAAUCAAGUUGUUUCAAUUGGUAUUAGCAGUCAUGACUCGCUUUUGACCACUUAGCCGAACCAUCCUUGCUUGAAUUACACACGUUUCUAAGCUUUUGAGGUUCAAUUGCCAUGUGGCCAUGAAUAUGACCCAGAAAUUGGAUAUGUGACCAAGAAAUACAGCCACUGUACUUUCUCCAGGCAUUCUCUCGUCAACCAGGAAAUCACUUUUCUGUACAAGUAAAAUACUUUUCAAACUACGCCAAAAAUUAACCAUUAUCUUUUUCUUGGCCAUCUGUGAUGCAUGCUUGAUCCGGUUAAAAAGAAGAUGACAACAAGUGCUUGAUGUAAUCUCAUCAGUAUAACAUCUGCCGCAAUUAAUUUCUUGAUAUUUCCAACACUGACAAAGACAAGGUCAUCGCUACUACCUCUCCGAAGGCCCUGGCAAGUACGUGUUGCUACCAAGGAAAAUAUGCUUUCUCAUCAUUUUUGCAGCAUGCAUUAGAAAGUUCAAAGUUUAUAUCCUCGAAUAAAUUUCUUCAUGAAGGUGCAUCAGGGUGACCAUCCACCAUUGUUUCUUCGAAAGCACGCGGCAGAGGCACCCACACCCGCGGUUCAGCAAGAUCUACAUUUCCAACAACUACACCAAGGACUGGGGCAUAUACGCCAUAUGCACCUGCGUCGAAGCUCAGCGUAACAUAUAUGGAGGACAGAAGACGACUGCUUUCAAAUACAUGCCGGAGAAGGCUGCCGACAGAGAAGAGACGACAGCAGGAGCAGAGCCUCUCUCCUGCAAGGCCUUAGGCAUC